UCGUAACAAGGUUUCCGUAGGUGAACCUGCGGAAGGAUCAUUACCGAGCGAGAAUUCUCUGAAUUCAACCUCCCACCCGUGUUUAUUGUACCUUGUUGCUUCGGCGGGCCCGCCUCACGGCCGCCGGGGGGCAUCUGCCCCCGGGCCCGCGCCCGCCGAAGACACCUUGAACUCUGUAUGAAAAUUGCAGUCUGAGUCUAAAUAUAAAUUAUUUAAAACUUUCAACAACGGAUCUCUUGGUUCCGGCAUCGAUGAAGAACGCAGCGAAAUGCGAUACGUAAUGUGAAUUGCAGAAUUCAGUGAAUCAUCGAGUCUUUGAACGCACAUUGCGCCCCCUGGUAUUCCGGGGGGCAUGCCUGUCCGAGCGUCAUUGCUGCCCUCAAGCCCGGCUUGUGUGUUGGGUCUCGUCCCCCUUCCCGGGGGGACGGGCCCGAAAGGCAGCGGCGGCACCGCGUCCGGUCCUCGAGCGUAUGGGGCUUUGUCACCCGCUCUGUAGGCCCGGCCGGCGCUUGCCGAUCAACCAAAACUUUUUUCCAGGUUGACCUCGGAUCAGGUAGGGAUACCCGCUGAACCUAAGCAUAUCA
rnacentral:misc_RNA from 1 species